UACGGAGGGGGCUAGCGUUGUUCGGAAUUACUGGGCGUAAAGCGCACGUAGGCGGCUUUGUAAGUUAGAGGUGAAAGCCCGGGGCUCAACUCCGGAAUUGCCUUUAAGGCUGCAUCGCUAGAAUUGUGGAGAGGUGAGUGGAAUUCCGAGUGUAGAGGUGAAAUUCGUAGAUAUUCGGAAGAACACCAGUGGCGAAGGCGACUCACUGGACACAUAUUGACGCUGAGGUGCGAAAGCGUGGGGAGCAAACAGG
rnacentral:rRNA from 1 species